rfam:Picea glauca, whole genome shotgun sequence.
GCCUGCUUAGCUCAGAGGUUAGGGCAUCGCACUUGUAAUGCGACGGUCAUCGGUUCAAUCCCGAUAGCUGGCU